rnacentral:tRNA from 1 species
GGUAAAAUGGUCGAGCAGGCGUUAGGCUGUAAACCUAAAAACAGAGGUGUUAGCCCUCUUUUUACCA